rnacentral:lncRNA from 1 species
AGCACCUUCCAUGCUGGGCAGCUCCGACAGGUGCGGGACCAGCAGAAUCUGCCCUUCGGUGUGACCCCAGCCUCACCCUCUGGCCAUAGCCAGGGCCGGCGGGGGGCCUCUGGCAGCAUCUUCAGCAAGUUCACCUCCAAGUUUGUCCGCAGGUGAGAGGGGCUGGGAGCAGACCUUCCCACUUGUGUGGUGGUUGGGGUGGGGAUAACAGAGCUGGGAUUGUGGCCUUAGCAGGUCUGGAAAAGAGGGUUGUCGUCAACAUCUCAGGCACCUAGACUCAUCCUCUUAGGCCUUUCCCCAGCUCUUCUCAGGCACCCCUCAUUCGAUGGCCCCAAGCAGAUGGGCGAUGCCGCCUCCUCUCUAGGGGAGUGUGAACUCAGAUGCUAAAAUAAAAGCCCCCUCUUCCCUCCUGGGUUCCCAUGGAAACUUAUAUUUGGUGACGCAGCUGCAAAGUCAUGAGGCGUGAGCCAGGCUGGGUUGACAAGAUUUUCCUAGUCUAUUCUUGCCCCCUUUGACCUCCUUCCCCUGUUUGCCCUCCCACAGGUAGAUAAUGUCUGGCUCUAACUAUGUUCUUCUGCCCCAGGGCUUCCUAGGGCAAAGCCCUCAAAUGAAAUGGCUGCUGAGGGCUGCAGUGGCCUCUCCUGCAGCUCCAGGGUUCCAGUGCCUUCCUGGCCUAGACCCAGGUGGGAAAUCUCUUCAUGAGUUUCUCAUGCCUGAGCCCUCAUCAUAGAGAGAGAUGAGUGGCUUAAGGUGGCUUGGGAUCAGCCGUGGGAUCUCCUGGGUACUCUGUCCCCAGAGCCAAGUGGGACCUUUUGAGAGCAAACCUACCCACCCCUACUGCUCAUCCCUUACACACCCAAGCCACCAGAUGCCAAUGAGGCUGCAGGGCGAGCAGACCUGAAGUCAGGACUCUGGUCUCGCUGAGCGGCUCUUCUAAAACUGGGGAGACCCUAGAACCUGGAAAGC